CAUAGAUAUAUAAUACUCUAGAUUGCGCCCUGCGAUCUUAAAAUGGGUGACGGUUGCGACAGAGAUAAAUGAGCCUAUUUGGUCGGUAGUCUCUUUCUAAUUCAAGGGGAGUAUCGACGACGUGAAUAUCCCACUUUAUCGAGUAAUAUGUGUUGACAGUUGGAGCGGGUGGUGACGGGAAAUAGUCUUUGGUCUUCGGACGUGGAUAAUCGUGGUUCGAAUCCCAUACCAACUAUACUUUUUUUAUUUUUAUUUAAUCAAUAUUGCGUUUAUUAGAUAUUUUUACACCUGAAAAAUGGACCUAAGUAAAUCUAGCAGAUAAUAAAUGUAUGUAUAGUAAGUUAAUAUUGGAAUACAUAAUUUGUGAACUGCAUAGUAUAAAAGUCAUUCGUUAUUAAUAUAAAUUCGUCCUUAUUCGAAUGAUGUGAAUGUUUGUUUUGCUUCUACUUUUUUAAAAAAUUGUAACAAUAGUUUCAUAAAUAAAAAUAAUGUCUAUAAUUGAAUCGGUCAUUUCAAAAACAGCAAAGUCCACAAUUUUCAGAAACUAACUUUUUGAGAGGAAUAGACUUCUUUAAAAUAAACGUUGUGUGCAAAAAACGACACCAGUCCAGUAAAAAGAUUAUAGGAACAUUAGGAACAAAACUACAAUAUAACUCUGAAUUUUGAUGUCAUCCAUUUCAUCCAUCUUUCGAAUAUAUAGUUAGUUUUCUUUGCUCUUCUGUAAAAUUAGGAAUAUGUGACUCAUGUUGUUUUUGAAAUGACCGAUUCAAUUAAUAAAUCGAUGGUACAUUAUGUUGAUAUUAAUUAUUGGUAAUUUUUUACGAAUAUUUUUAACAAUUACUUUAUACUAUUCUACAAUUAACUUAUUAAAAAAAUAACAUUGGCUUUUAUAUUUUUUUAAAAUCUAUAGGUACCUACACAGUUUUUCUUAUUUGUUAUAUAUUUCUUUGCAUAGAUUUACUUUAGAGAUGUAAUAAUAUCUAAUAAACGCAAUAUUGAUUAAAUAAAAAAUAAAAAAAGUAAAGAUUGGUACGGGAUUCGAACCAGGAUUAUCCACGUCCGAAGACAAACGACCAGUUCUCGUCGCCAUCCGCUCGAACUGUCAAACCAUCUAAAAUACUCGACGACAGAGUAGGAUAGUGACGUCGUCGAUACUCCCCUUGAAUUAGAAAGAGACUACCGACCAAAUAGGCUCAUUUAUCUCUGUCGCAACCGUCACCCAUUUUAAGGUCGUAAGGCGCAAUCUAGAGUAUUAUAUAUCUAUGAUUUUAGUUGACUGUUUAGUUUGAUGUUUUAAUGUCUGCAAUGUGCAAUAUCCAAUAAAAAUAAACAAAAUAUAGAACAAUAAUAAUAUUAUGUAAUUAUAAUGAUUUAUAAUUUCCUAAAGAAAUAUAUGCUUUAGAAAGAUGUAACAUAUUGAAAGAGAAAAUGAGAUGUAAAAUCUUGAGAAUCCAAGAGCUGCAUGUCUGAAAGCAAAAUAAAUGAAACUGAGGGCAUAGAUAGAUAACAUUUUACUGUGAUUGGCCUGUAAUUAUCAACCAAACAUGGAUCCCCCUUUUUGAAAAUUGGACUAACUACUCCCGUUUUAAUAUCACUUGGAAACUUGCCAUCCUUGACAGAUAGGUUGAUGAUGUGAGACAGAACUGGAGAUAUGUAUGUACAUCAUAAGUUGAUUGAACCUCACUUAUCUAUAUACAAUAGUGCACACAAAAAAAGUUACAGCCCUUUGAAGUUACAAAAUGAAAAUCGAUUUUUUUUUCGUAUAUCGAAAACUUUUAGAGAUUUUUUAUUGAAAAUGGACAUGUGGUAUUCUUAUAGCAGCAACAUCUUAUAAAAAAAUUAAAGUGAAAUUUAUGCAUCCCAUAAAAAUUUUAUGGGGGUUUUGUUCUUUUAAUUCCCAUUAUUAGUCUUUAUAUAUUUAGUAUUAAUCCCCAUAUCAUUAGUUAAACACAAUGUUUUUAAAACUUUUUUGCCUCUUAGUACUUUUUCGAUAAGCCAGUGUUUAUCGACAUAUUUUGAAUAUUUGUCGAAUCCACCACAUAUUUGUAUAUGGUUAAGUACGAUUAAAGAGACCUGUUAAUAAUCUGAAAAUUUAUUUAUAAUUUGCAUUUUUAGGUAUAUUUUGAAAAAGAAGCCACGUCUUGAUAAAAGGUGACUUGCCAAAAAAAGACUAAGAGGCAAAAAAGUUUUAAAAACACUGUGUUUAACUAAUGGUACCACAAUAAUAGUUUAAUUGGAACGUACACAAACGUUUGGGGGCUUUAAAGGAACAAAACCCCCAUAAAAUUUUUAUGUAAAUAUAUUAAAAAAAAAAGCUGCAUCUCGAUAAAAACUGGAUUAUCGAAAAAAUACUAAGAGGCAAAAAAGUUUUUAAAACGUUGUGUUUAACUAAUGGUAUCACAAAAAUGAAUUAAUUGGAACGUACACAAAAGUUUGGGGGGGGGGGGGGUUUAAUGGAACAAAACCCCAUAACAUUUUUAUGGGGUGGACAAACUUCACUAUAAUUUUGUUUUAAGAUCUUCCUGCCACAAGAAUAAUACAUGUCCGUUUUCAAUAAAAAAUCUCUAAUAGUUUUCGACAUAUUAAAAAAAAUAAAUUUUCAUUUUGUAACUUUACAAGGGCUGUAACUUUUUUUAUGAGCACAUUUGUACUAAGGUAAGGUUCAAUCGAACUAUUUUUGACCCCAGAAUAUGUGGUAUAAUUUAUGACCAAUCUUUUCGGGACACCCUGUAUAAUUAAUAAGGUAUUACCAAAGUAGAAAGUUAAAUAGUUAAUUACUAAUUUAUAAAUCAUAUUUCGUCACCAUUUUGAUAUUUUUUUUGCUUGGACUAUAGUCAUUCAGCAAGUCUCAAUCAAAAGUAAAUGUAUUAGAGAUAUUAGAUAUUGUUAAUUAGUGAAACAUGGUUAUUAUAUUAUAAUUUUUUACUUCUUAUUUUACCUACUCAUUACAGCUAAUGUACAGUUACGUUCACUGAAUAGUUUACACUUUAAUUUUUAUAUUGUAAUACUGUAAAAUUGCAGUGUCGUACGGAUUUGAUAAAUGUCAAAGUCAAAAAAUCUCAAAAAGUCAAUGCUUGUCAAAAAUUUCGUGAGUGUUGAAAAAUAAAAUAAGAAACUAAACCAUAUUAAGACCAUAAUCCAUUUUAUUCAAAAAAACUUCUUUCUAUAUUUUCCAUUUUGAUAAAUUUUGUAAAAUUUAUUUUUGUUAUUUUGAUUUUUUAAUUUUAAUCAACUUAUUCUAGGUACACCACUGGCAACGUCACUUUGACGCAAGAGGUGCGUUUAAACGAGGUAAAAAUUUAAAAAAUCGGCUCCUAGAUAAUCCAGCCUGUAAACUAUUCACUGGCCGUAACUGUACAUACUAUGUUAAUAAAUAAUAAUAUAUUAUACUUAAUGUUUAUCAAGAACACAUAGUGUAUACAUUUUACAAAUAAAAAUAUUAAUGUUAAUAUUUAAAAUAAAUGUAUUCUUUUUU